rnacentral:sRNA from 1 species
CAAGUGAGGUUUCAUCUAUGAGUUCAUA